GAGGGUACAGCUCAGUGGUAGAGCGCAUGCUUAGCAUGCAUAAGGUCCUGGGUUCAAUCCUCCGUAACUUCA
rnacentral:tRNA from 1 species